rnacentral:rRNA from 1 species
AUAUUGGCCAGAGACCGAUAGCGCACAAGUAGAGUGAUCGAAAGAUGAAAACACGUUUGAAAAGAGAGUUAAAAAGUACGUGAAAUUGUUGAAAGGGAAGCGUUUAUGACCAGACUUGGACUUGGUUAAUCAUCUGGGGUUCUCCCCAGCGCACUUUUCCAGUUCAGGCCAGCAUCAGUUUUCGCCGGGGGAUAAAGGCUUCGGGAAUGUAGCUCUCUUCGGGGAGUGUUAUAGCCCGUUGUGUAAUACCCUGGCGGAGACUGAGGUUCGCGCUUCUGCAAGGAUGCUGGCGUAAUGGUCAUCAACGACCCGUCUUGAAACACGGACC